AACGAACGCUGGCGGCAUGCCUAACACAUGCAAGUCGAACGAGACCUUCGGGUCUAGUGGCGCACGGGUGCGUAACGCGUGGGAACCUGCCCUUAGGUUCGGAAUAACCCCCCGAAAGGGGUGCUAAUACCGGAUAAUGUCUUCGGACCAAAGAUUUAUCGCCUUUGGAUGGGCCCGCGUUGGAUUAGCUAGUUGGUAGGGUAAAAGCCUACCAAGGCGACGAUCCAUAGCUGGUCUGAGAGGAUGAUCAGCCACACUGGGACUGAGGCACGGCCCAGACUCCUACGGGAGGCAGCAGUGGGGAAUAUUGGACAAUGGGCGAAAGCCUGAUCCAGCAAUGCCGCGUGAGUGAUGAAGGCCUUAGGGUUGUAAAGCUCUUUUACCCGGGAUGAUAAUGACAGUACCGGGAGAAUAAGCUCCGGCUAACUCCGUG
rnacentral:rRNA from 1 species